rnacentral:rRNA from 1 species
AAUGAACGCUGGCGGCGCGCCUAAUACAUGCAAGUCGAGCGAGAAGACGUAGCAAUACGUUUGUAAAGCGGCGAACGGGUGAGGAAUACAUGGGUAACCUACCCUAGAGUGGGGAAUAACUAGCCGAAAGGUUAGCUAAUACCGCGUACGCUCCUUGGACUUCGGUUCAGGGAGGAAAGCGAUGCCGAGAGUAUCGCGCUCUUGGAUGGGCUCAUGUCCUAUCAGCUUGNGGUGAGGUAACGGCUCACCAAGGCUUCGACGGGUAGCUGGUCUGAGAGGACGAUCAGCCACACUGGCACUGCGACACGGGCCAGACUCCUACGGGAGGCAGCAGUAAGGAAUAUUGCGCAAUGGGCGAAAGCCUGACGCAGCGACGCCGCGUGGGGGAUGAAGGUCUUCGGAUUGUAAACUUCGAAAGAAUGGGAAGAAUAAAUGACGGUACCAUUUAUAAGGUCCGGCUAACUACGUGCCAGCCGCCGCCGUAA